AGUGAACGCUGGCGGUAGGCCUAACACAUGCAAGUCGAACGGCAGCACAGUAAGAGCUUGCUCUUACGGGUGGCGAGUGGCGGACGGGUGAGGAAUACAUCGGAAUCUACUUUUUCGUGGGGGAUAACGUAGGGAAACUUACGCUAAUACCGCAUACGAUCUACGGGUGAAAGCAGGGGAUCUUCGGACCUGGCGGGAUUGAAUGAGCCGAUGUCGGAUUAGCUAGUUGGGGGGGUAGUGGCCCACCAAGGCGAUGACGGGUAGCUGGCCUGAGAGGAUGACAGGACAGAGGGGGACUGAGAGAAGGCCCAGACUGCUACGGGAGGCAGGAGUGGGGAAUAUUGCACAAUGGGCGGAAGCCUGAGGCAGCAACGACGCGUGUGGGAUGACGGCCUUAGGGUUGUAAACCGCUUUCGCCUGUGACGAAGCGUGAGUGACGGUAAUGGGUAAAGAAGCACCGGCUAACUACGUG
rnacentral:rRNA from 1 species